ensembl:miRNA Mir6317 microRNA mir-6317-1
AAAGACCUCUAGUCUCCUGCUUGCCUUCUGCUGCAGUGAACCUGAGAGAAAGGCUCGAGCAAUUAGGUUGGGGCCUUACUCACAGUCUCACUGGAGACAUCGGGUUAUUCUAGGUGGAUUCAGAAGG